rnacentral:rRNA from 1 species
GACGAACGCUGGCGGCGUGCCUAACACAUGCAAGUCGAGCGAGAGGAGUUCUUCGGAACAAAUCUAGCGGCGGACGGGUGAGUAACACGUGGGCAACCUGCCUUAUAGAGGGGAAUAGCCUUCCGAAAGGAAGAUUAAUACCGCAUAAUAUUGCAGCUUCGCAUGAAGCAGUAAUUAAAGGAGCAAUCCGCUAUAAGAUGGGCCCGCGGCGCAUUAGCUAGUUGGUGGGGUAACGGCUCACCAAGGCGACGAUGCGUAGCCGACCGGAGAGGGUGAUCGGCGACAUUGGGACGGAGACACGGCCCAGACUCCUGCGGGAGGCAGCAGUGGGGAAUAGUGCACAAUGGGGGAAACCCUGAUGCAGCAACGCCGCGUGAGUGAUGAAGGUUUUCGGAUCGUAAAACUCUGUCUUUGGGGACGAUAAUGACGGUACCCAAGGAGGAAGCCACGGCUAACUACGUGCCAGCAGCCGCCGUAA